rnacentral:lncRNA from 1 species
GUAACUUCUGCUGUGCAGAUUGAAGAAGAAGAACUCAAUGAGACAGUCAUUUGCACUAAAGAUCAGAUGCAAGUUAUCAUUCCCAGUGUGUUUUUUCUGAACAAGGAGCCACCUGUUUCGGUUUGGGAUUUGCACUUGAACGAUCCUGACUGUCGAGGUGUUGAGGUUGGGAACGACUAUGUCUUCAGCAUCAAGACCAACCUCACAGACUGCGGCACCAUUAUGGCAUCAGAUGAUACUCAUAUCAUGUUCACCAACACGAUCCGCAACAAUGAAACCGAUAUCAUCACCAGAAGCUACAUCAAUAUCACAUUUGGGUGUCGAUACCCCAUAAACUACAUGGUUCAGCA